ensembl:lncRNA
GGCAGGUAGACUAGAGGGGCGGCAGGUAGACUAGAGGGGAGGCAGGUAGACUAGAGGGGAGGCAGGUAGACAGGUAGACUAGAGGGGCGGCAGGUAGACUAGAGGGGCGGCAGGUAGACUAGAGGGGCGGCAGGUAGACUAGAGGGGCGGCAGGUAGACUAGAGGGGAGGCAGGUAGACUAGAGGGGAGGCAGGUAGACUAGAGGGGCGGCAGGUAGACUAGAGGGGCGGCAGGUAGACUAGAGGGGAGGCAGGUAGACUAGAGGGGCGGCAGGUAGACUAGAGGGGCGGCAGGUAGACUAGAGGGGAGGCAGGUAGACUAGAGGGGCUGCAGGUAGACUAGAGGGGUGGCAGGAAGACUAGAGGGGCUGCAGGUAGACUAGCGGGGAGGCAGGUAGACUAGAGGGGAGGCAGGUAGUCUAGAGGGGAUCCGUACAGAAAUGGUUUGUCGAGAUCGGUGUGGCCUGCACAGAGACCUGACCUCAACCCCAUCGAACACCUUUGGGAUGAAUUGGAAAGCCGACUACAAGCCAGGUCUAAUCGCCCAACAUCAAUGCCCGACCUCACUAAUGCUCUUGUGGCUGAAUGGAAGCAAGUCCCCGCAGCAAUAUUCCAACAUCUAGUGGAAAGCCUUUCCAGAAGAGUGGAGGCUGUUACAGCAG